ensembl:lncRNA
AUGACAGCAGACUUCAUUCUGAGCCACACACAGAUGGCUGCAAGAGCAACAGCUGCACUACCAAUGGAGCUGGUGAGGGACGUGGAGGGGUCUGACCAAGGGCACACAGCAGCAGCUGUAAAGCUCCGGGACACACGGCCGUUUCCUAACAAGCUCUUGAGCAGCCUAAGCAGCCCCAUCUCCACAAGGGGGUCACAGGCUGCCACCCACCCACAUCGGUCAGGAAAAGCUGUCACCGUUACCAGCCCAGCAGGCUCUGGUGCUGGCCCCCCCAAGCCCAUUCCCAGUGCAGGGGUGCAGCAAGAUGCUCCUGAGCUUGCAGCUGCCUUGUCCAUCCUGGGUAUCCAGCAGAGGGAGGCACCAAGUCUUGAAACAUCUCCUCUGACAUCAACAGUACAUUUCCAUCCUCCCAGAAAAGAAACAGCAUCUCCAUUUCCCACCAGAGAGAUGGUGACCAACCCAGUGUCAGCACCUCCCACCAGCAAAAGGCCGAGAGACGCGAGCCCCCAGGCUCAGCCUGACAGCAGAGCUGCACAGCCUCGGGGUGUGGGUGAUAAGGUCACCACUUCUACAUUCCUACCAAAGCCAGCUUCUGGGGGCCCUGGUGCAGUUCCUCCCGGAACAACACAGACAACUGCUGGUCAGUUCUCCCCUAUUUUAUCUCUGAAGCGAGGAACGGCAGGCAGCGAGGGCAGGAACUUCACAACAGCUGUCAUAAGCGGGUCUGGACACACAGCCCGGCUGCCUGCUCUGCAGGACGUUCUACAAGGCCGUGCACACUCCUUGUCCUUGCCGAUGCCUCUGGAAGCCCUGGGUCAUGGUGAUUUACCCCACUCUCCAUCUCAAGAGCCCACUAAUGCCGCUGACAGACCGCAGCCUCUCCCUUUACCCCGGACUCUCAACUGUACCAAACACCACUCCUCCCAAGAAACCCACAGGAGCUCUCAAGGAAGCACAGCCCUGGUUUUGCAAAGAGAUGCUGAUCACCAGUUGACAAGUAAACCUGAGAACUCCAGAUUCCCCAAGAAGCCACAGGUUUCUGCUAGUGCAUCCUCAGUAAGCCAGUCACAGAUGUCCACCUUAAACCUUUCCCGAACUACUACAGAGACAAAAGGAGCUACAUCUGCACUCCCCCCAGGCACGUCCACGCUGGAGCAUGCAGCCCUUCGAGCCAUGAGUGCUCCUGAUUCUGUUCAUGCAGCACUUCAGCCACCGCAUGUAUCUGCUCCUUCUGCUGGAUCCCAGUUUGUGGGCAUCCCCACUUCUGCUGGGCAAGGACUUCACAUACCAGCUUCACCCACUUCAGCUCACUCUGGGUCUCUGCAUCCAUCCUCUGCUCAGGAAAGCCAGCCCAGCACAACAGUACUCCCCGAACUGGUGGGAGCUGCUGUUUCUGAGGGGAUCCCAGCACACCUGGCACAGCUGCUGGUGCAGCAGUUGGGUACAUCACACCACGCAUCUACCAAAAACCUCAGUGCUAUCAGAAUUGAUCCCCUGAAUAUGUUACCAUCAUACCCGUAUUUGUCGUUCCUGCUUAGAAAUACCGAUGGCAUGCUAUGCCUGCUUCCCAUGCAGGAUUCCCCGUUGCCUACACAAUUCCCAAAUAUCAGCAUUGGGACUCUGGUUUCUGCUCAGCAAAUCCUCACAGUGUCAAAUUCUUCGUUAUUAGAUCUUGGGGACUUACCAAACCUGAGCCUUUCCAGCUUAAUCCUGGUUAAGCCCAUAUUUAUCCUCCUUCCCACCGACAGACAAGGCUCACAGGGGGGGCCCUCUCCUGAGGGUGAAGACAGCCACAGAGCCUUCUUGUUCACAAACCAGCAAGGUGUGAAUGCAGUUACCGCUGAACGCAGCCGUGACAUCCCGGUGGUGUCCACGCGCAGCCCCCGUACAGCCCCCAGAGCACCUCUCACAGCUGGGAAGCCGCUUUCUUCACCACUGCCAGCAGUGGGACCGCCCGAUCCCCCACUCCCAGCCCAGCCUCCAUUUGCCAUCACAGGGGCAGUGGAUCAGGCUCAGCCCAGCAAGGAGCCAGCGCUGCAAGGCACCAGUCAGGGCUCGGGCCCUGCACCGUCCUCUGCCCGUGCACAGUGCACUGAGUGUCUGCACUCAGCCAGAACCACAAAUUACCCAUUGAGGAUGUCCACAAACACUGUGCCUUUGCAGUCCACACCACAAAUUAUCCUCAGCUCUGAGCCGCUCCAAAGGCAGGCAUCACCAGCUGGGCUUGUGCCCAGCACUGUGCCAGCAUCCCCAGUGUCUCCCAGUGGCAGCAAAGGGAGAGGUUCAGCUGCGGGCAGCACCGCCUGUCCAGGAGCAGCUCUGCAUCCCAAGGCAGCAGCAACCCCACCCACUUCUAUAAGUCCUCACCUCACCAAGCACCUGGAGCUAACAUCCUCCGUGCCCAAGUUCUCAGCGGUGCUGGAGACCCCAGUGCUAACACCAGUGCUUUCCCCAUUUCCAUCAAAGGUCUACAUGAAAACAACAACAUCUGGGAAGCAGUUGGCUGCAGUUACCCAUCUGAGAAUGUACACCAGGUCCCCUGCAAGCCCACCUUCCUCGGUAUCCAUGCAUGCUCCCCUGCCAUCAGCCACAAAACAUGACCGGAGCACCCAAGCACAGGGCAAUGUGGGAGGAGAUGCAAAGCCAACUGAAGUCAGCACAAGUGCAAGGAAAACAGGACUUGCAGGAAGCAGCAUGCCUCUGCCAGCUGCUUUUAACACAGGGACAGAGCAGCGCCCCGCAGCAGUGCAGGGCAGCGAGGCUGCUUUAGCCCCAGUGCAGUCUGUGUCUGCAGAAGCCGUGACUGAGAGACACAGCUCCACUGGGCAGCGCCCUGGGCCGCCUACAACAGGAUCAGCUGUGGGGCUGCCCCUGAGCACCGAGGAAGAGGAGGAGGUCGGACCCCGCGAGGUGACGGAAGAAGCAGCCGAAGGCUCAGUGACAAGUCUCACACCACUGGGGUCACGGCCAGGAGAACCCCGCCGCCGCAGUGCCGUGCAGCCGGAGGGCACCGUGCUGAGCGGGUAA